rnacentral:rRNA from 1 species
UGGGGAAGUUUUCCGUCAAUGGGCGAAAGCCUGACGGAGCAAUGCCGCGUGGAGGUGGAAGGCCUACGGGUCGUCAACUUCUUUUCUCGGAGAAGAAACAAUGACGGUAUCUGAGGAAUAAGCAUCGGCUAACUCUGUGCCAG